CCUGGGUACCAGUAAGUUUACAUCUACCAAGGCUACACGCUAAUUACAUUUUCUUUUUUAAUGUUAUCUAUUUAUCAAAUUUAGUUUCUUAAUGGAAAUUAAUAGACUAAGUCUCUGCAGUAAAAAAAAUCAGCUACAACAUAGCAGUUUGAAUAUUUUUUUUUCAGCUUUCAUCUUAUUCAGGCUUUAAGGGCUUUGAGUGUCUGGUUGGUGGUGAAGGCGUAUGAAAUGGGUGAUAUGAUUUAAGAGCAGGAGAUGGUAGGGAAGGAGUUAAUUUUCUCCCUUUUGCCAGAGGAAGGGCCACAGCUGCCUGAACUGAGCAGGGGGAUUUUCAGGGUUGCCAGCUGUGGGGAUUUAAUUGUUUCACCCGCGAGUCUAUAAAGGGGGGUACCACAGGGUAGCUCUAAAUCCUGUUGUGAUUCAGGGAGGAGGAGGUGAUUUGGAGGUCAGCUAUUGCAUAUGAAGUACCCUGUGUAUUCAGAAUGCUCAGCAAAGUGUUAAAUCAUUGACGCAGGAGACGUUCCAAGUGUUGAUGCCUUGCUGAAGCAUGUGACAAGGAAGAAGAUGGUACUUGUUCACUUAAGAGGCAAACAGAACAUUUGGAAGUGACAUGGCAGUUGGUGGACACCUACAUUUGCUUCUUGGCCAAGGCUUCCAAAGGGAUCACUGACGGCACCUUGCUACACUGCUGUCUCUGGGUUUGGCUGUGGAAAUCUGAAGAUACCUGCAAAAUGUCACCUGCUAGAAAUGAUGGGGACUUUAGAGGGUCCAUCCAACAAGGCUAA
rnacentral:lncRNA from 1 species